GGGCGGGCGCGCGGGGCCGGCCGCCCCGGGGCUCGGCGCGGGAGCCGGCGCGGGAGCCGGCGCGGGGGCCGGCGCGGAGCGGGACGCGGCGUCCCGAGCGGCCGGCGGCCGGGGCUCGCCCCCGCCCCUCCCUGCUCCCCGGCGGCGGCGGCGGCGGGCGGAGUGAGCGGCGGAGCCUGGAAUAUGGUCGGGGAAAUGGAAACGAAGGAGAAGCCGAAGCCCACCCCAGAUUACCUGAUGCAGCUGAUGAACGACAAGAAGCUCAUGAGCAGCCUGCCCAACUUCUGCGGGAUCUUCAACCACCUCGAGCGGCUGCUGGACGAAGAAAUUAGCAGAGUACGGAAAGACAUGUACAAUGACACAUUAAAUGGCAGUACAGAGAGAAGGAGUGCAGAGCUGCCUGAUGCUGUGGGACCUAUUGUUCAGUUACAAGAGAAACUUUAUGUGCCUGUUAAAGAAUACCCAGAUUUUAAUUUUGUUGGAAGGAUCCUUGGACCUAGAGGGCUUACAGCUAAGCAACUUGAAGCGGAAACAGGAUGUAAAAUAAUGGUCCGAGGCAAAGGCUCGAUGAGGGAUAAGAAGAAGGAGGAGCAAAAUAGAGGCAAGCCCAAUUGGGAGCAUCUGAAUGAAGAUUUGCAUGUACUGAUCACUGUGGAAGAUGCUCAGAACAGGGCAGAAAUCAAACUGAAGAGAGCAGUGGAAGAAGUGAAGAAAUUAUUGGUACCUGCAGCAGAAGGAGAAGACAGCCUGAAGAAGAUGCAGCUGAUGGAGCUCGCGAUUCUGAAUGGCACCUACAGAGAUGCCAACAUUAAAUCACCAGCCCUUGCCUUUUCUCUUGCAGCAACAGCCCAGGCUGCCCCACGGAUCAUUACCGGGCCUGCGCCUGUUCUUCCACCAGCUGCCCUGCGUACUCCUACGCCAGCUGGCCCUACCAUAAUGCCUUUGAUCAGACAAAUACAGACCGCUGUCAUGCCAAACGGAACUCCUCACCCAACUGCUGCAAUAGUCCCUCCAGGGCCUGAAGCUGGUUUAAUCUACACACCCUACGAGUACCCCUACACGUUGGCACCAGCUACGUCAAUCCUUGAGUAUCCUAUUGAACCCAGCGGGGUGUUAGAGUGGAUUGAAAUGCCAGUCAUGCCUGAUAUUUCAGCCCAUUGACUUGCUGGAUGGAGGACUAGCGAACAGCAGCUGUUCCAACACGACCAGUCAAUGUGGAACACACUGUUUCUGUGCAACCCCUUUGUUUUUCCACACAGAAUUCAAAUCCUUUUUUUUCCUGAAUUGUACAUGACCUUGGUGCUGCAUGCAUGCUGUGCUGUGGACUUCUAGGACUUCGAUGUUUUAAGGGAUUUUUUUUCCUCCAGCAUUAAUACUGAUUUAUAGAAAUUUGAAAGUCUAAUGAACCUGAACACUAAGAGUUAAACUCAAAAAUGCAUUGUUCAGUUAAAGCAAGCUACAGUGCUCUGUAUGUUAUCUGUGUGUGUGCAUGCACUCAGGUGCCUUCUGUUUUAUGAACAAGUACGUUUUGUUGUACAUGUUUUCCGUUCAUCUCUGCAUCUCUGUAUGAAAUAAUUACAGGUCAGAAUCGUACCACAGAACUGUUGAUGAAAGCCUUGUUUCUUUUGCAUAUUUCUCAAAGCAUUUUUAAAAUAACCUGUAACCUGUAACCUCCAAUUUCCUCUCUAUUAAUCUCUGUCCUGUGGCCCCGUGCAUGCUUCCCCCCAGAACUCCUGUCUGCUGCGCCCAGAGCAUCUGCUCCAGGAGCUAGGGCUCGUGGCUCCCACGGGCCUAGGGCUCGCUACCGCUGCUCCUAGUCUGGCAUUGGCCACGUUGCCCUGUGGAGUUACAGUCCUGAGUGCCGAGCUUCUCCAGGAAGAGGGGUGAUAGACCAGUUUACUGCUUAGAAACCUCAAGAGGCACUGCUGUAGAGUUUCUCACCAGAAAACUAUUGUUUUCUUUGAUGGGAAAUUUUUACUCCUAAGACCUGAAUUAUUAGACUGGCAGAAUUAACAAUAAAAUACCAUUUUCUAAUUGGAAUUCAUAAGACGAGAAAUAAUAAAUACUAAGUGAAGUCUGUUAUUAUCAGUUUUAUUUCUUGCUUUGCAACCUAAGCAGUAAAACUUAACCAUCUGAAGAACUGAGAGAAUUCUCGUAAAUUGCUGUUACCAUAAACUUGCACACAGAUAACAUGCAUGCUGUAAAUCAACUCUCACAUUAAAUUAUCUUAAAAUGCGCAGUGCCUUUCAAAACAGUGCAGACAUGUGUGUUGAUGGUAGUGAGGAGAUUGGUGUUAGCAUCAAAUCUUCAUUGAUGACUAAUUUUUAAUUCCCUUCCUUUUAUCUUUAGGUAUGGCUUUCCCAACGAAAGGCUAAGAAUUCAAGAACGGUCUUAACUGAACCCUCAUCAGAUCUGAAUUUAACAAAUGCUUAGUCUCAGCAGCCUCCGGGGAGAAAGCUCAGCCUAGCAGUCAGUGACUUACUUGCACUUUUUUGCACAUAAAGUUAAAAAGUUGUUAUUAAUUUGGUUUAGCCGGUCAUAUUACCCAGUAUCAGUAAUUUAUAAAGGAGUGUAUAGUAGUAAACUGACUGCUAAGUGUACUACACUGUUCGCUUUACUAAUCACCUAAUUCAUUGCAGUUCAUUCUUAUUGACUUAGAGUUUAAAACCACAAUCUGUAGGCUUUCAGGAUUGCUUUUAAACCUUUUUAAGUAAUAAACUCUGGAAGUGGUCUUAAGGUUAGCAGAUAAUUCUCCGUAUGAGACAUGGCAUUAUUGAAGUUGUCCUGUAAGCAAGGCACUUCAGUGAAUAUGUGACUAGUAAAGCUUCAAUGUGUUUGCAUCUGACAGCUCAUGAAGUACUGUGACUUGGGAACUGUAAAUGAACAGAUGAAAUAGGUUAAGGGCAAGAUGUUUAAAAUAAAUGCAAUAUUAAUAGAUGCAUAUAUACAUGACAUGGUUACCUUUGAAACUACUGUGCCUUAGCAUAUUUCCUAAAGCAAAUUUUUGUAGUAAGUGACAUUUGGAGUCCAUUUUGAUAAACCUGCUGUUAAUGUUUCUUCCCCUUGUGAAUGUUUUCUAACUUUGUCUUGGUAAUUGCGAUUUAACUAGGUGCGGUGGCUACUAAAGUUCGAAGGCACGAUAUGCGUGUCCAUCCUUACCAAAGGAUUGUGACCGCAGACCGAGCCGCCACCGGCAACUAACCUAUGACCUUCUGACCUCUGAACUCUUCACCCAAUGAUGACCUGACCAUGCCUGCCUGCUGAUCAGUUAACUGGUAAUCGCCUUUGCUUGCCUGUCGUCAGCGCAGCGAGCUGAGGCACUUGUCCGUUCGUCUUACCAUCUAACCAAACAAAAGACAAAGAAAUUGUUGUCCUCCAACUCAGCUUCUUUUCUUUUUCCCAUUUGGGUGAACGUGGUUCUAGAAACUGCACUGAAUAGUAGUAAAGCAAUAAGGCCCAAUUCAUCCCACAGCACUGACCGUCUUUAAAUGUCCCCCUCUGAGUGAACGGUAAGAAGGGGGGACAGCUGGCCCUUAACUACUCAUUGACAGAGGCAGUUACUGUGAGACUUCUAGGAACCUUUCUCUUCUCAUAGCGAAGUCAAAGCUCUCUGAAUGUACUGUGUGAUGAUACAUCAUGCAUGAACCUUCGGUCAGGGAUGUCAUUGGGGAAGUGAUUUCAAAAAGUAUUCGGAAUCUGAUACGCUGUUUGGUCACUACAGUGCCCUCACAGGGCGGAGUGGCAGCCUUGUUACAUUGCCUGCCAAUGUUUUGAAGUAUUAAAAGAAAGUGUGCCAUGAGAAGAAAGCAUAACGAGGAGCUUGAAAAUUAAUGCCAAGUAAAAAACUGCAACACUAUUUUUAAAAAGAUGAAUAUCUGAGUUAAAAUGACUGAACCUUUAUUUUACACCUCCGUUAAAAAUAUACGAGAACAAGGUACAUGCAUUAUGUGUCACAUUACUGGGCAAACUGUUCAAGUGUUUUUUUUAAACCUCCCUGUAUAGAAAAAAAUCAUUAAGGAUGUAAAAGCCAUGCUUGCCUACUUGCUGUAUACAUGUAAUGAAAUUGUAGAUAAAGUGUAGUGCAUUGAGACAAAUGAACAAAAAGUAGAUUCUUUUACUAUACAAGGGUGCUGGUGCAGAAAAAAUAUAUAUAUUUUUGGAAAUGUAGCAUUUUAUACUUUCAAGUGUUAUAAAAAAAAAGAAAAA